rnacentral:tRNA from 1 species
GUUGGUAGCGCGUCUGCCUUGUAAGCGCUAGGCCGCGGGUUCGAUUCCCGUCCGGGGCG